rnacentral:lncRNA from 1 species
AUCAAACCCAGAGUAAACUAAUAUUUGGUAAUCAAGUAGCUCUACCUGGGCUGAUACUGAUUCUGGUGGGCACUUAAACAGCUUUUGGGUUGCCAGAGACAUCUUACCAGGAGUGUAUUAAAAAAUAAAAUAAUGCACUGGCUUUGCAGUACGAAAGCAGAGUCCAUAAACCACAAUAUCUCUCUGUGAGGAAAUAGACUUCCUGUCUGCUAUUUUUUUAUGUGCCCAAUUAAGUGCAGAUUUUUGGCUGCGGGAGCAACAUAACUGCAGCAUUUUUUCCAGAAAAACCAAGAAAUGAACUAAAAAACUAAACAAGAAAAAGUCUUAUAAGAAGAUGGUCUGAUAAGUGCUGGGAGAUAAUAUUUUUUUCUCAUUUUAUACCUGAUAUCUUCUAACCUGGAUAUGACCAACCUCGGGCAGAGCGACUCUAGAUCACAUUUCUAAUGUGCUGGCAGCUUCCCAUCCCAGAGGGAUUUUCACUGAGUAAGCUUCGAUGAGAAAUGAAGUGAAUCACAAGAAAGUAAUUUGACAUGAGGGAUUUAUCUUUGAACCAACCAGUUCCAAGGCGUAACCAGGGUAAGAAGAAGGGUAAUAAAGAAUCCAGGCUCAAUGAAAAGCAAUUGUCCUUGUUCCACUGAGGACAAACAUCAAAGAGUAUGUGCUUUGAACUUAACUUUCAUAGACUGAAGAAUGAAAAAUGAAUCCUAAUGGCCAUGACCUAGCACCCAGAGCAAAUCCUCUGAACCAGGU